GGGCCCGCACAAGCGGUGGAGCAUGUGGUUUAAUUCGAUGAUACGCGAGGAACCUUACCAGGGCUUAAAUGUAAGUUGCAUAGAUCAGAGAUGAUCUUUUCUUCGGACUACUUACAAGGUGCUGCAUGGUUGUCGUCAGCUCGUGCCGUGAGGUGUCAGGUUAAGUCCUAUAACGAGCGCAACCCCUAUCGUUAGUUGCCAUCAAGUAAAGUUGGGAACUCUAACGAAACUGCCGGUGCAAACCGUGAGGAAGGUGGGGAUGACGUCAAAUCAUCACGGCCCUUACGUCCUGGGCUACACACGUGCUACAAUGGCCGGUACAGAGAGCAGCCACUUUGCAAAAAGGAGCGAAUCUAUAAAACCGGUCUCAGUUCGGAUCGCAGUCUGCAACUCGACUGCGUGAAGCUGGAAUCGCUAGUAAUCGCAGGUC
rnacentral:rRNA from 1 species